UGUGCUUCAGAAGAACGUUCCCCCUUUUCUUUUAAGCACUCUCUUUUUUCUUCUUUGUCUUGCCACUCUCUAUUCCAACUCCAAAAUCUAACCAUUUGUUUCCUGAAUUGAAGCUACCUAGACCUUCAGGACUCCAAGAGCUAUGUUUCUACCGAUUGAUUUUCCGUUUUCUCUAACCGGUGAUUCUAACAUUUUGGGAGUGCAAGCAAGUGGUCUAGGGUUCCUACUUGAGCUUGGUUGUCUACACUAGAGAGUGGGAAGAGUGUUCGCUGGAGCAGGCAUUGGAUGUCGAGGACCCUGCUGCUUAGAUUAGGACCAUUCAUUAUACAUCUAAUGGUAGUUUUGUAUUAACCGUUCGGUUAUAACUCUAGCUUUGUAAUAAUCGUUCGGUUAUGUACAUAGUUUUGUAGUAGUAUAAGAACUUUGUAAAGUUUUAAAUUUUAUGGGUUAUUUUGU